UACGAAGGGGGCUAGCGUUGCUCGGAAUCACUGGGCGUAAAGCGCACGUAGGCGGCUUUCUAAGUCAGGGGUGAAAUCCUGGAGCUCAACUCCAGAACUGCCUUUGAUACUGGGAGUCUCGAGUCCGGGAGAGGUGAGUGGAACUGCGAGUGUAGAGGUGAAAUUCGUAGAUAUUCGCAAGAACACCAGUGGCGAAGGCGGCUCACUGGCCCGGUACUGACGCUGAGGUGCGAAAGCGUGGGGAGCAAACAGG
rnacentral:rRNA from 1 species